AUUGAACGCUGGCGGCAUGCUUUACACAUGCAAGUCGAACGGUAACAGGUCUUCGGAUGCUGACGAGUGGCGAACGGGUGAGUAAUGCAUCGGAACGUGCCCAGUUGUGGGGGAUAACGCAGCGAAAGCUGUGCUAAUACCGCAUACGAUCUAUGGAUGAAAGCGGGGGACCGUAAGGCCUCGCGCGAUUGGAGCGGCCGAUGUCAGAUUAGCUAGUUGGUGGGGUAAAGGCCCACCAAGGCGACGAUCUGUAGCUGGUCUGAGAGGACGACCAGCCACACUGGGACUGAGACACGGCCCAGACUCCUACGGGAGGCAGCAGUGGGGAAUUUUGGACAAUGGGCGCAAGCCUGAUUCAGCAAUGCCGCGUGCAGGAAGAAGGCCUUCGGGUUGUAAACUGCUUUUGUACGGAACGAAACGGUCUGGGUUAAUACCCUGGGCUAAUGACGGUACCGUAAGAAUAAGCACCGGCUAACUACGUGCCAGCAGCCGCGGUAA
rnacentral:rRNA from 1 species